AUCAAUUAUUGUCUUAGCCAACCUGAAAGCAGGAAACUUCAGAAGUUAACUUCCAGAAUUUAACUCUGAUUUCUACAAGCCAAUAAUAAUAGAUAUGCACCUAAAUAAAAAAGUAGGCAAAAAUGUCAUUAAUUGUACAUAUACAGGCUACCAAAUAAAACAUGAAAACAUUUUUUUUUUACUCUCUGCUUACGGUUAAUUUUCAAAAUCAAAUACAGCCUGUGAAGCACAGAAACUCUAAUCACUGGCAUUCCCCAUUUCGGAAACUUUUCUGUCUCAGAAAUGGCAAAACACGCUCAUGACACGUUUCAGGGCCAUAUCCGAAAAAAUUAAAAGAUGGAAACGCGUUUCCAACGAUCGGUGAUGACUUCUAGUUUAACUUUAAGUCUAGCUUAAGAUUAGUGUUUGUUAAACCUCCCCGCAAAACCCAUAGUGAAGCUGCCCAAAGCCACCAUUAAUCCCAUCUUUUCUCAUGCUUGAGUUUGCUGGAUCAAUCAGCUACUUCGCCAGCAUCACAAAGUGGUCUGAGUCUCAUAAGUGGUGUUAAUAAUGGGUUAGGGGACUUGACGAAGAGAGCAAGACGUGAGAGAGAAGGGUGAUGCUAUAUACUUUUUUGGUAUUUUAUUGGUCCUUAGUUUUUUUUUUUAAUUUCUUUUAUUUUCUU
rnacentral:misc_RNA from 1 species